GAUGAACGCUGGCGGCGUGCCUAAUACAUGCAAGUCGAGCGAACAGACGAGGAGCUUGCUCCUCUGACGUUAGCGGCGGACGGGUGAGUAACACGUGAUAACCUACCUAUAAGACUGGGAUAACUUCGGGAAACCGGAGCUAAUACCGGAUAAUAUAUUGAACCGCAUGGUUCAAUAGUGAAAGACGGUUUUGCUGUCACUUAUAGAUGGAUCCGCGCCGCAUUAGCUAGUUGGUCAGGUAACGGCUUACCAAGGCAACGAUGCGUAGCCGACCUGAGAGGGUGAUCCGGCACACCGGAACUGAGACACGUUCCAAACUCCUACGGGAGGCGACAGUAAGGAAUCUUCCGCAAUGGGCGAAAGCCUGACGGAGCAACGGCGCGUGAUUGAUGAAGGUCUUCGUAUCAUAAAACUCUGUUAUUAGGGAAGGAAAAAUGUGUAAGUAACUAUGCACGUCUUGACAGUACCUAAUCAGAAAGCCACGGCUAACUACGUG
rnacentral:rRNA from 1 species